rnacentral:snoRNA from 1 species
ACCCUCCAGUUCCCUUUCCCAUUGGAUUUGAACCCUGGUCUCAGUGGUCGUAAAAGGAGGAAUAGUAGUCCUGAAGCUGUGCUCAUAGCGUCUGCUAUAUAUAGCAUGUGGGCUAGUUUAAAACAAGG